UUGAACGCUGGCGGCAUGCCUUACACAUGCAAGUCGAACGGUAGAGGGGCAACCCUUGAGAGUGGCGAACGGGUGAGUAAUAUAUCGGAACGUGCCCAGUCGUGGGGGAUAACGCAGCGAAAGCUGCGCUAAUACCGCAUACGAUCUAUGGAUGAAAGCGGGGGAUCGCAAGACCUCGCGCGAUUGGAGCGGCCGAUAUCAGAUUAGGUAGUUGGUGGGGUAAAAGCCCACCAAGCCGACGAUCUGUAGCUG
rnacentral:rRNA from 1 species